AUUGGGUACUGUGGUGGAUUCAUUUCAACGGUAUGAACAGUGAUGAUCAAUGAACCCACAUAGAGAAAGUGAAACAAACAGAAUCUGUAUGUAAAUUGGAAACUAUUCCUUUUCAUUCUUGCAGAGAAAAUCAAGAAACCAAGUGAUUAAGCUUAACUUACUCUCUCUCUCUCUCUCUCUCUCUCUCUCUCUCUCUUCUCUGACACUAAGGAUAUGAUCGCGUAUGCAAGAUGUAUAUAUACCAGUCUUUGAAAGCCAAGAUUUAUACGUGUUUUCCUACAACACUUUUUCAAGAAAUGAAGUAAAACCCUAAUCUUGAUUUAUCUGACUAGGAGAACUCAGUGGAAAAAGGGUCAAGAGCUGUGGUGGGUCGCUUCCUCUCGGUGUAGUCAUCGGUGAUGGAUGCAGAUAAAACCUUUUUUCUGCUAUUGCCUUUUCCUCCUCCGAAACUGCAGGGGACGAUGGUGAUUCAGUUCCAGGGCUACGGAUAAAGAGUGACUCUGAGGAAAGUGGAGUCACCGGACU
rnacentral:misc_RNA from 1 species